UCAAGAGGUCUCCGGAUCUAAAAUUCGAGGGAGUAAAUUAUUUUCCCUUUCUCAUUCUCACGUCCGCCGCUCUCACUCAAACCCUAAAUCUAUCUCUCUCCAUCUCUCCAAGGUUUCGCCUGAAACCUCUCUCUCUCUCUUCGCCUGCUGACCGUCGUUGCCUUGUUUGGGUGUAAGCCGCUGCCCACUCUGCAUUUGUCUCUCACCAAUUUGGCCUCCACCAUCGUCCCCGAUAGAAAAUUCCAUGUGAUGUAAACCCUACCCGAAAUCAGAUCUAUCUCUCUGUUUGUCUUCCGCCUUCGUCGCCUUUCUCUAUGAGUUUAUUUUCAAAAUCUGAGGGAUUUAAUCGAAAGAGUGUCGACAGACUACGAUGAUUCUUACGAUUGGGAAUGGAUGAGUUCGUUACAGACAUGGAUUGAGUUCAAGGUGAUCGAAGAUCGAUGCAGAGAACGGGGUCGCCUGGCUUUAGCCCAACAAGAAAAAUUGGCAACACAUGGAAAUGGCUGACAGCGAGUUGGCGAUGUUAAAAAUCCUGCUUCCUGGCUUUUUUCUACUUCCCAAAGUCGACUGAUGGUUCUUCGCGAGCUCUUCCGCUUUUGCACCGCUGCAGUCAGCUUACCUCUACCUGGUUUGCCAUUUUUGCUACCUUCAAGCAAAAAUUGGAGGAUGGCUGCUCUCUCAAAGGAAGAAAGAUCAUUUCUUCUAGCCAUGUUGCUGUUGCUUUUUUGUGUUUAGGUGUUAGAUUUUGAAUGUUUUUUAAACUGAAUGUAUGCCCUAUUUAUAAAGGGCUUAACUUUGAAAAUUUGUGGGAAAUUUGAAAACUCCCAAAAAUUUAAUGAAUGAGCAGU